AAACACCGCCUAUUGAAAACAUAAUAGGUCCAUCCUGCCCAGUGGAUUUUUCUCAACGGCCGCGGUACUCUGACCGUGCAAAGGUAGCAUAAUCACUUGCCCUUUAAUUGAGGGCUAGCAUGAACGGACACACGAAACCUUGCUGUCUCAAGGCGACACACUAGAAACUGUAAUUCAAGUGAAGAUACUUGAACUUUAUUACAAGACAAGAAGACCCUACAGAGCUUCAUUAAAAAUGUUAUAUAAAGAGUUCUAAACAAUACUAAAACUUUUCUUAAUUUGGUUGGGGCGACCAAAGAUCAAAUAAAGCAUCUUUCUUAACAAUGGAGCACAGUCUAUUUAACCCAUUUUGAACACGACGUAGCUACCUUAGGGAUAACAGGCUAAUCCUACUAGAGAGAUCACAUUGACAGUAGGGGUUGGCACCUCGAUGUUGGCUUAGUGAAUCCCCUGGGUGUAGCAGCCCAAAUGAGUCGGUUUGUUCAACCGUUAAAACACUACGUGAUCUGAGUUCAGACCGG
rnacentral:rRNA from 1 species